rnacentral:rRNA from 1 species
UAGGGAAUCUUCCGCAAUGGGCGAAAGCUUGACGGAGCAACGCCGCGUGAGUGAUGAAGGUCUUCGGAUCGUAAAACUCUGUUAUUAGGGAAGAACAAAUGUGUAAGUAACUAUGCACGUCUUGACGGUACCUAAUCAGAAAGCCACGGCUAACUACGUGCCAGCAGCCGCGGUAAUACGUAGGUGGCAAGCGUUAUCCGGAAUUAUUGAGCGUAAAGCGCGCGUAGGCGGUUUUUUAAGUCUGAUGUGAAAGCCCACGGCUCAACCGUGGAGGGUCAUUGGAAGCUGGAAAACUUGAGUGCAGAAGAGGAAAGUGGAAUUCCAUGUGUAGCGGUAAAAUGCGCAGAGAUAUGGAGGAGCACCAGGGGCGAAGGCGACUUACUGGUCUGUAACUGACGCUGAUGUGCGAAAGCGUGGGGAUCAAACAGG